rnacentral:lncRNA from 1 species
GUUUCUGCCAAAUGUAGAUUCUAUUAGUGUAAUUAAAUAGCUAUUUAACCUCUACUUGCAUGUUACAUUUCACUGAAACAUGUUGACUAUAUAUAUCCACAUGAGAACUUUGAUUAGCCACCAUUGUGUUUUAAGGGAUUAAAACACUUAUCUCACAACAUCUUUGGGAGGAUCAAAUGAAAUAAUAAAUGUGAAAGUGCUUUGUCAACCAAAGACUGCUAUAAAAAUAAAUGUAGACCGAGGUUGAGGCUAUCGUUGCAGAAUUGUAAUCUCUGCACUUGAAAUUGAUGUGGAUAUGCAAGCAAAUGAAAGGAAAAUGAAAGAUUUUUUCCCCUGGAAGAGACCCCUCUUCGCCCAUCACUACAUGUCAGACUGAAGAAACAAGGAUGCUGAAUCCCCAGCUUAAUGCCAUCCCCUCUCGAACUAGGAACUCAUUUGUUCAAACUAAGAUUUCAAGAUGAAACUCCAAUCAGCAGUCCCCGUGAAAGUAUCAUUUCAAUCCAAAGAUUUUUUGAAGGAUGGACUGAUUAAAUAAUGAGUUUAGAAAUAUAAAUAAAGAAGUAGGACAGCAAAGUAAAAAAAUAAUCCCCUGGGAUUUAGAAUUGAUACAUUUAGGGCCUAAAAAUAAGAAAAAAAAAAUUA